GGAUAAUGCAAGUGUUUAACAGAUGCUUCACUAUUAAAAUAUUUCCCCCCCAAGUCUCAAAUAUUGAAGAAUCUCUAACCAGGCUCGAAACGCCGGUCUCAGUGGCUAUUGAGUUACCCACCAAGUUACCCCGGUUAGAGCUGUUUGGGGUGGCUCACGUUAUUGCGGCAAACUUUGGAGAUGACGGCUGAGUCCUCCGGGCGAACAUGUCAAGCCGAUUGUAAAUGCUGUUAUUUCCACAUCCUUCAGGGACACCAGUCCCUACGAAGACCUUGGGCGAUUUUGAAGUGCGGGCACCUCGAUUCCCCGAAUCUGUAGUGUGGCUGGUAUCGGUGUUCCCCUGGUUUAACUAGCCUGUUUGAAGGCACAGAUCAUUCAUGGGGAAGUAUAACCGAAACCAGUCCUCUCCACCCCCUGGGGAUCUUCACUUUCCCAGUCUACAACUGCCUGUGACUCCAGAAAGACAAACUGCAGAUUGGCCAAGCUGCCUGAAGACCCAGCCCGACAGCGAUGCCUGUCAGCCCGCGUCGCCCACCAGGGCAGCUGCUCUCCCGACUCGCAUGGGGGGCACCACCCCGCCUCGGUGCCCUAGAGCUGAGCGCAGCCGCGGCUCCACGGGGAUCGCCAGGGCCUCAGCCCUCGCGGCCGGCGGCGCGGGAGUGUUGCGGGGCAGGGACCAGAGCGCGAUCAGAGCGGCCAACCCCCGAUUUAGGUCGCCAGCUUUCCAGUCACUGCGAUGGCCACUGGGGCGCCCCUUCCAUCCUGGUUAAAUUCUCAUUGUGAUCCCCAGCCCUCUUCUCGGUUCCCCACACCCAGGAGGCCGGUUCUCCGCCGCUCAGGCUGGGAGAGGUCACCGCUCCGGGCAGGGUGGACCCCCAGCUCCGUCUCGGAGGACCUUUCGCCGGAGGCGAGCAGGAAGGGGUUAACCAUGAGCCUCCCACCCUCACCUCCCAGACCCUGGUGCCGGGCGAAGGCCUCCGCUUCCCUCCUGAGGUCUCAUUAGGAAACCCUCACCGCUAUUUUCAACAUUUCCUCAAUCAAGUGUCUUUAAAUAGAGCUGCACAAACAGAUUGGCGGCAAAAGCGUAGAUCUUGUCACGAUUGAGACCAAUCCAGUAUUUCAGCCUUGUUUGCUUUGCAAUUACGGGUUGGCUUGUGGCUACGGUGCCACCGGGGCAAAUCUGCAGCCGCUCGCUUUCUCCUCUGCACUCCGGGCGGGUGGAGGAAGCGACCCGCGGAGUCACUGCAGGGAGGAGAAGGGGACGCGCGCGGGGGGAGGCGGCGGAGGGCGGAGGAGCCUCGCUUGCACCCCAGGGCCGCGGGCACGCAGAGCUGUGUUGAAGGACAUACUUUUCAGGUUCCUGACAGUCACUGAGCUAUACGC
rnacentral:antisense_RNA from 1 species